AAGGCUAAAAAUCAUUCCUUAACCUGUCUCCUCCCCUUCAUCUACACUGAUUGAAGUGGAUUUAACAAGUGGCAUCAAUAAGGGAUCAUAGCUUUCACCUGGAUUCACCUGGUCAGUCUAUGUCAUGGAAAGAGCAGGUGUUCUUAAAGUUUUGUACACUCAGUGUAUAUGUAUCAUGUAUACGCAGAUACCAUUAAUGUUUUGUGCGUGCAUGUGCGUUUGCAUGUGCGUGGUGUGUGUGUGUGGUGAUAAUUCAGCUCUGGGUGGCAAUUAAUGCCAAGCGCUGACAGUGGUGGUAGACAGAUUGAGUGUCCCAGGGAUAGGUCCCACAUCAGGGGACAGGGUGGUGGAGUGAGUGUCCCAGGGAUAGGUCCCACAUCAGGGGACAGGGUGGUGGAGUGAGUGUCCCAGGGAUAGGUCCCACAUCAGGGGACAGGGCGGUGGAGUGAGUGUCCCAGGGAUAGGUCCCAGAUCAGGGGACAGGGCGGUGGAGUGAGUGAGUGUCCCAGGGAUAGGUCCCACAUCAGGGGACAGGGCAGUGGAGUGAGUGAGUGUCCCAGGGAUUGGUCCCACAUCAGGGGACAGAGUGGUGGAGUCCCAGGGACAGGUCCCAGGUUGGGGCACAGCCAGACAGACAGCAGGUGAAAAGAAAAGAGAAAUACUUGAUCCAUUAAGUAGGUUCUCUACUAUCAAACUGCAAUCCUUAAUCAACCCAUUGACCCUACUCUUUAGGCACACAGUAAAACUGAUGGAAAGUCCUCCAGCCUAUAGGAGGGUAAGUUGGUAUAUUUUGUUUAUACAUACAAUCCACUAACAUCUACACAAGUGCCUGAGGGGUUAGGGACAAGGGUUGAGUUGGGGCAAUAGGAUAGGAUAGGAGACAGCAGUUCAGUUUAAACGUGGGAGUUUGUGAGUUGCUUUGGAUGAAAGCGUCCAUUGAGUGACCAUCUAAAUGUGAUAGAAAUGUGGGGAAGGAGUGGUGAAAGGCUGUGUGGCAGUGGAGGCUGGUGUGUACUCUGCUAUCAGUCUAUAGCUCCUCCCACCAGCCCCCACUGCUGUGUAGUAAUCCAUGAGGUGUGUACUCUGCUAUCAGUCUAUAGCUCCUCCCACCAGCCCCCACUGCUGUGUAGUAAUCCAUGAGGUGUGUACUCUGCUAUCAGUCUAUAGCUCCUCCCACCAGCCCCCACUGCUGUGUAGUAAUCCAUGAGGUGUGUACUCUGCUAUCAGUCUAUAGCUCCUCCCACCAGCCCCCACUGCUGUGUAGUAAUCCAUGAG
rnacentral:lncRNA from 1 species